rnacentral:rRNA from 1 species
CAGCAGCCACGGGAAUACGUAGGGUGCGAGCGUUAAUCGGAAUUACUGGGCGUAAAGCGUGCGCAGGCGGUUAUAUAAGACAGUUGUGAAAUCCCCGGGCUCAACCUGGGAACUGCAUCUGUGACUGUAUAGCUAGAGUACGGUAGAGGGGGAUGGAAUUCCGCGCGUAGCAGUGAAAUGCGUAGAUAUGCGGAGGAACACCGAUGGCGAAGGCAAUCCCCUGGACCUGUACUGACGCUCAUGCACGAAAGCGUGGGGAGCAAACAGGAUUAGAUACCCCCGUAGUCCCUGUCUCUUAUAC